GAUGAACGCUGGCGGCGUGCCUAAUACAUGCCAGUCGAGCGAACGGACGAGAAGCUUGCUUCUCUGAUGUUAGCGGCGGACGGGUGAGUAACACGUGGAUAACCUACCUAUAAGACUGGGAUAACUUCGGGAAACCGGAGCUAAUACCGGAUGAUAUUUUGAACCGCAUGGUUCAAAGGUGAAAGACGGUCUUGCUGUCACUUAUAGAUGGAUCCGCGCUGCAUUAGCUAGUUGGUAAGGUAACGGCUUACCAAGGCAACGAUGCAUAGCCGACCUGAGAGGGUGAUCGGCCACACUGGAACUGAGACACGGUCCAGACUCCUACGGGAGGCAGCAGUAGGGAAUCUUCCGCAAUGGGCGAAAGCCUGACGGAGCAACGCCGCGUGAGUGAUGAAGGUCUUCGGAUCGUAAAACUCUGUUAUUAGGGAAGAACAUAUGUGUAAGUAACUGUGCACAUCUUGACGGUACCUAAUCAGAAAGCCACGGCUAACUACGUG
rnacentral:rRNA from 1 species